rnacentral:rRNA from 1 species
AUUGAACGCUGGCGGCAGGCCUAACACAUGCAAGUCGAGCGGAUGAAGGGAGCUUGCUCCUGGAUUCAGCGGCGGACGGGUGAGUAAUGCAUAGGAAUCUGCCUGGUAGUGGGGGAUAACGUCCGGAAACGGGAGCUAAUACCGCAUACGUCCUGAGGGAGAAAGUGGGGGAUCUUCGGACCUCACGCUAUCAGAUGAGCCUAGGUCGGAUUAGCUAGUUGGUGGGGUAAAGGCCUACCAAGGCGACGAUCCGUAACUGGUCUGAGAGGAUGAUCAGUCACACUGGAACUGAGACACGGUCCAGACUCCUACGGGAGGCAGCAGUGGGGAAUAUUGGACAAUGGGCGAAAGCCUGAUCCAGCCAUGCCGCGUGUGUGAAGAAGGUCUUCGGAUUGUAAAGCACUUUAAGUUGGGAGGAAGGGCAGUAAGUUAAUACCUUGCUGUUUUGACGUUACCAACAGAAUAAGCACCGGCUAACUUCGUG